GAUGAACGCUGGCGGCGUGCCUAAUACAUGCAAGUCGAGCGAACAGACGAGGAGCUUGCUCCUCUGACGUUAGCGGCGGACGGGUGAGUAACACGUGGAUAACCUACCUAUAAGACUGGGAUAACUUCGGGAAACCGGAGCUAAUACCGGAUAAUAUAUUGAACCGCAUGGUUCAAUAGUGAAAGACGGUUUUGCUGUCACUUAUAGAUGGAUCCGCGCCGCAUUAGCUAGUUGGUAAGGUAACGGCUUACCAAGGCAACGAUGCGUAGCCGACCUGAGAGGGUGAUAGGCCACCUUGGAGCGGAGACACGGUCCAGACUCCUACGGGAGGCAGCAGUAGGGAAUCUUCCGCAAUGGGCGAAAGCUUGACGGAGCAACGCCGCGUGAGUGAUGAAGGUCUUCGGAUCGUAAAACUCUGUUAUUAGGGAAGAACAAAUGUGUAAGUAACUAUGCACGUCUUGACGGUACCGAAUCAGAAAGCCACGGCUAACUACGUG
rnacentral:rRNA from 1 species